GUGCUAACUUUGGCAGCACAUACACUAAAAUUGGAGUGAUACAGAGAAGCUUAGCAUGGCCCCUGUGCAAGGAUGACACACAAAAUUGUGAAACAUUCCAUAUUUUU